AGGAAGCAGUGUCAAGAGCGCAAGAUUGCUGGAAUUGAUCUGCCCAUUCGCUUGCGUCAGUAUUCGAUGAGAGACGAAAUAGAAAGUAAAGCACCUCCUAUCUUUGGCAUCAGGAGGUUUAAAUCAGAAAGAGCGAGAGAGAGAUGCAGUAAAAAGAGGAGGACCUGGCUAAACAGCACAUCACGCAUACUGUAAAAUGCUAUUAGCCCACUAUACAAGGACUCGAGCAUCAAUGUAUUUUUUAACAAGUGUUACAUGCAGGCAUAUGUAAAUCAGCAAAAUCACAACGGAUCUGGGGAAGUUAGCUUAAGGGAGGCAGAGCUGUGAAGGAGCCAUACAAGGGAAAGUCCAGUCCUUGAGUGUGUCUGGCCACCCCAUCAGAAACAUCAUAGAGCAUAGGCAUCUGGUCAAGCAGGAAUUGUUUUUUUGGUGCAUCUGGCCACCCCAGCAAGUAGGUGUUUGAGGUCACCGAACAUGGCUGUUUGAUGAGGCCGAUACCAGUGCAGGAUGUGUAGCAGUUGUGGAAGAGGAGCGCCAACCUCUGCCAAGAAACAAGCAACAGAAGGACCUCGGCAGUGAGGGCAGGUGAGGCCCCCAGCGGAGGAACAGGAGUCAUCUUGACCCACAGCAUGGGGUCAGCUGAGGACAGUCGGACUGGAGACCUCAAGGUCGCAGCGACAGAGCUCAACAAGGAGUCUGAGACUGGAUACUUGGGUGGCUGGACUCACGGAGCAGCAACAGGCGGUGGCCACUGGACAGGCCAGACCCAGGCUGAGGAACCAGGCGAAGGCCUCGCAUCAGGAGACCAGUGCAAAGUAGAGUGACCAGACGAAGGCCCCGGGUUGUGAUGCUAGGCUGCAGCAGGAGAGCUCAGCUGGUCCCCUGCUGCGACGACAGGCGAGGGGGCUAUAGACUGAGGACCUAGUAGGGCAGAGCGUGAGGUGUCUUUUACGACGGGAUACUGAACACCUCACACAGGAGGGUCCCCCACUUGGACAUCAGGAGGGUCCCCCAAUGGGACGUUCUAAUUCAAAGAAUGAACCCAGGUACUGUAGGUAAUGAACCCAGGUACUGUAGGUAAUUAACCCAGGAACUGUAGGUAAUUAACCCAGGUACUUUUCUUUGCUUAUUAAUAGUAUUGAAGCAUUGGCAAGGUCUUGUUAUUGCAGCGUUGACAAGGUCUUGUUAUUGCAGCGUUGACAAGGUCUUGUUAUUGCAGCGUUGACAAGGUCUUGUUAUUGCAGCGUUGACAAGGUCUUGUUAUUGCAGCGUUGACAAGGUCUUGUUAUUGCAGCGUUGACAAGGUCUUGUUAUUGCAGCGCUGACAAGGUACACUCUUAGAACAAACAAAAACAUCUUGAGAUCUUCAAGGGUUCAGCUGGGAACCUUUUUUCAUUUGAGAACAUUCAGAAGACAGGGUUCUAAAAGGGUUCUUUGUCACUUCCUCAGUUUAUUUUCUGAGUCAGCAUCAAUGUCGUUAUGUGUCCCUUGUCCAGACACUGUUCGUGUUUUGUUUCCUGUAUGUUUAUUCAUUAAAUAUUCACUCCUUGAACAUUUCCUUCUCGUCUCCCAGCAUCUGUCCCUGCAGAAUGAUGACUCCUCAAUUAGAAGCAACAGGGAGUUUUUUGUUUUUGUUGAUGGCUUUGGGUCCGGGUGCCGCUGUCGAAGCAACCGGGGAUGCCUCAGCUGGCUCGUCAGGCUCCCGUGCCUCAGCUGGCUCCAGAGGCUCACAAGCCUCGGUUGGCUCGUCAGGCUCCCACGCCUCGGCCGGCUCGUCGGGCUCCCAUGCCUCGCCGGCCCUCUCCCAUGCCUCGCCGGCCGGGGGGGUACUGUCUCGUCUGCUCUUGCUCCCGCUCCCCAUCGCUAACGCUUAUGGUCACCAGGCUGCUUAUCAUUACGCACACCUGUCACCAUCGUUACGCGCAUCAGCGCUUCAUCGGACUCACCUGGACUCAUCACGUUAUUAAUUACCUCCCUUAUAUCUGUCACCUCCUCAGUUUCUUUCCCGAGUCAGCGUUAAUGUCGUAAUGUGUCCCUUGUCAAGACGCUGUUCGUGUUUUGUUUCCUGUCUGUUUAUUCAUUAAAUAUUCCCUCGCUGUACUUGC